GGUGCUGAAAUGGGCCACGUGUUGCCCAGAUAGGGAGCCUAAGAGGGAGGGGGGUGAAUUGGGCCUUUUAAAAUUUUUGUGAUUAGUGCUUACAAGCAAUGUGCUAUACUUAUAGAGUGAGAUGAAUUGAUUAUCAAAGAAAAGAAAAUCAAUCACAAUUGACUAAUAAACAAGAAUAGAGCAUAAAGAAGAAAAGAAAAUAUGGAAGCACCACAAACACAAGAGGUUUAUAGUGGUUCGGUGCUAACCUUGCACCUACAUCUAUUCCC
rnacentral:lncRNA from 1 species